CUUCAGGACAGGUCUGAUAGGCUGCCUAACAAAGGAUGUCUCAAAGAUAGCAAGGGAAAACAAUGAAAGCAAUCAAGACUGCCCAUCCCCAGAGAGUGCACUGUGUGAACUGCACCAGUAAGGAUGCAGUCGCUGAGUCUCUCUGGUCCUGACUUUUCCCGGACUUCAGAGGGGCUGGCUCUGGAGUAUCAUUCAACAAUACUUCUCAUCUGCACCAUGUUUUCUUGUGCCCUGAGUAAUCUGCAGCUGGAUUGCUUCAAUUAUUUUUUCAUUUUGUUGUUUUAUUUUUCUCUAAGAAAUUAUGUAAUGAGGAGUCAUGGAUUUUAACUGCAUGUCCCAUGGCCUAGUACCAGAGAGAAAUGGUCAAAACAUGUCCAUAUUUGUGGUAUGUUGUAAGGGCAGAAGGUGAUAUCCAAAGUGGUUCUUUGCUUGCAAGAUUAACCCUAGGGACCACUGGAGUUAUCAUUCAUUUAUGUCAGAUCUGUAGCUGUUCUGAUGCUUUAAGCUAACUUGGUCUACUUCUAGUGUUAGUACCUCUUUUUAGACCCAGCUUUAUCUUCCAUUAUUUCAGUCACCCUAAUGUAAUGAAUUUUCUUUUCUGGUAUCCCAAACACUGUGAAAAAAAACCUGCCUCCUCCAUUUGCAGUAAAACUUGAUCCACCUUUGAACAUCCAGAGCAAUGCCACUGCCAGCAAGUGCCAGAUAUGGUGGAGUGUGUGGAAUGUGCCUUGGUACCUCGCUGAAAUUCUCCAAUAUGAGUUGCAGUAUAAGGAGUACAGCAUGUCCUGGGAGGUUGCAUUGAACAAGACACUACCCAGUUCACUGCCACAAGUAGAAAUUGAAGCCACAGAGCUCCACAUUGGCAUUGCUUAUGCUGCAAGAGUUCGCUGCAAAGUUUCUGAAAAUGAGAAUUCAUACCACAGUCAAUGGAGUGAGUGGAGCCAGACGACAGUGUUUCAAAAAGCAGACGUCCCAAAAGUCUCUGAAAAUAUUCUAAAUAUCAAAACUAUGCAGUACUUAUUCAUUCCUCUGAGUUUUGGCACUCUACUCUAUUUAUUCUGGAACUGCAAACUUUCCUCAAGGUAUGUGAUUUUCAAUAAGUUCCCCUUGAUUUUUAUGGCCUGGAAAGGGUAAAUCAAGAGUUGUUAUAUUCAUUUUCCUUUCUGUUUCUGCUGCACAGACUCAGUCAUUUCCAAAAGGUCUUCUGACAAUCUUGGAACGAGACAUGUUCCUCAGUUGAUAAUAGUUAAUGACCCACUAUACAGUCCUUAAGGAGAUCAAAGUACAUUUGGGACUCCCAAAUUUGGCUGUAAUCCAAGGAUGAUGGCAUCUGGAAGUUAAAGAAAUUUAAGCAUAUGGAAGUAUUUGAAGUUUCAUGUAGAUAAAUUAAAAGUGCAAGUACGCAGCAACCUAUAAAAAGGUGGUUAAACUGAUGACAAUGCUCAGCUAUGUGUGAUAUUCCUGGCAGGAGUCAGUAGGUAAAAUACCAAUAUAGGCAAAAUAAACUGACUCUGAUUCAUUUGAGACCAAGUUGUACAGAGAAAAAUAGUGGUUUUAAAACCUUGGUUCAGCAAUCCUCUGCACAUUUUAUGCUGGCAGAACAUAGGUACCUCUUUCUUUUUUACCUUGACAUACAUUAUUAUACUCCAUAUACACAUCAUUUUUAGAGAAACAGAAUACAUGAUGUCCACAUGAUAAAAUAUUUUAUAGGAUAGACUCUAAUAAAGGGGCAAGGACGUCUGGCAGAAUUUCUCUGUUUAAAUGUAAUGAAACUAGCACUCUUUAAAACACUUUCAGAAACAGUGGUUUAGAUCAAGUAAGCUGAUAAACAAAUGCUUAAAUAGCUCAGUGUCUAUAAUGAGUAAUACACCAGUAUAUUAAGUUUGUGGCAUAUUCCAAAGAAACGUAUGAGACUGUGCUUCAGGUUAGAAAUGUUAAAUGCAUGCACAGGUGGCAGAAAAAUAAUUGCAUGAGAAGUCAGAAAUUAUGAGUGGGCUUCUUGUGCAAUCUUACUAACAUUAGUGGGGUGGGGUUCAUCUAACCAAUAUGGAGACAGAACACAGAAGAACUCUAUAUUUUUUUUAAAGUGUUGUUUUCUCACUUUAGGGCAAAAAGCCUCAUCUGCUUUAACAUUCCCACGCCAGCUGCUUUCUUUCAGCCACUCUAUAGUUUGCACAAUGGGAAUUUUAAGGUAAGAAAUAAAUUUGAUUUCUUUCUUAUGACCCUCUGUUCAUGACAGAAGGAUUUUUUUUUUCUGGGAUUAAAAUUCUAGCUCCUGAGCAAAGUUACUGACACAUGAUUCUGAUCUUCCUGAAAGUUUAUAGUUUCUCAUUUUACUGCUUCCGCAUACUAGCUAACCACCAGAGCUUCUGUCCAGUCUCUUGCUCCUUAAAAGUGGAACUCCUCCAGUGGCUCCCAGCUCAGACUGAAUGCAGAAGGUGCACCUUUUCAAAACCAAAGCAAUACCAGCAGCUUGCAUUAUAUUGUGGUGGUGUAAUCUUGUAAAAAUUCUUCUAAAAUUUUGUGAAAUUAGCUGCUACGUUUUUACCCUAUUAUUCUAACUUUGCCUGUUAGAUUUGCACUAAACAUCUGGGUUAUUGUGCCAAAGACAUACAAAGAAAGAAAAGUUAUUUUGGAAAUAACUAUGCAAAAUGACCCCAGCUUAUUGAUGCUUUCAUUAGGACUGGGUUGGACUGAAUGAGGCUUGUAGCCAACUUGAAAGAGAAGAGACCAGCAACUCAAGCAAAGUGAAUGCAGAUAGUAUUUCUGAUCUAAACAUCCAGGAGCUGAUUUCCCAAAUCUCAUUGAAACCUACAGGAAGCACAGAUGUGGUUACUGCAGAAGAAAACUUUGCAUUUGCCUCAGGUCCAAGCCAGCAGUAUGUCCCCAGCAGGUACAUAAGAGCAGAAGAGAUAGAGAUGAGGCCGGGACUAUUGUUUGCACCAAACUAUGCUGAUGAUACCAUUGGCCCGAAAAUCUCUGAAAUAAUUAAAGACAACCUUGAGAGCCCUAGUGUUGGAAGGAAUUAUCCCUCUCACUCACAGCAUGGAAAGGGUGACUUUCUUAUUCUUCGAGAAUCUUUGGGGAUAAAAGAUGUGUCCUUCAGUGGCAGUGACUAUUGUACUUUGUGUGACAAUGAUACCACAGGAGGUUUGAUUUCUGCUGAACUACUGAAGCUUUCUAAUGGCAGUAGUCAUGUUAAACAUCAGAAAGAUCAGUGACCUUCCCUGAGGAAUACUGCCUACAAAGUUCCUUGUGCUCUCCUAUCACCACCCAACACUGUUCUCCCAAGUGGCACAAAUGGUGACUGUGCAGACAGUUUCAAAUAUGAAACACAUCUUCAAGUUCUUAACUUCAGAAGUAGAUUGUGACUAAGUCCCUUGUCUAGCAAAUACUGCCCCUACAGGCAUUCCCUAAAUUAACCUCUUGGCUGCAAGAUCCACUAACCCUCUUGUCUAAGGAGGUAGCAGGGACCUGCUGCUUUCCUCAGGAAGAAUUAUUAUAGUUGUGUGCCUCUUGGAAGCAGCAGUAUUUUCAAUGUGAUGAACCAGGAUUUAAACUCCAUAAUUUUGUAAAAAAAUAUGCAUGAUUUUUCACAAAAUCAUGAGAAACUAUUUUUGCUUAAGAAAGUAAUUCUGCUUCUUAACAUGAUAUUGAUGAAUUAAAGGGAUUCCUGAUUUGAUCAGAAUUUGUGAUUGCUCUGUUUAAAGAUAACCAGACAGUAGGCCUUGUUCUUUAUUAUCUUGAAAGGCUGCAACUUUUUGUUUUGCAAUAACUAAGCUUCAUGUACAGCUUUAACAAAAAUUUAUUUCAAGGUUAAGUGGCUGGGCUGAUUCAAUGGAAAAAGGUGAAAAAUAAGAACAGCAUAAAUGACCUUUACUUAAUCACAGAACAGGCCAGGCCCAUUGCCUCUCCAGGGCUUCUAUUAUUUCUCCAGAAUUCAGAAGUCCUUUGCCUAUCUGCACAACAAAUACAGCCUUUGUGAGCUGAAUCUCUGGAGGUUUACUUUCUGCCCUAAACACAGAAAAUCCUAUAUGUGAUUAAUAUUCUACCACGCAGUUUUCUGGAGUCUUAGUUGUAUCUCUUAAAUUUAAUGGGCUCAACAGUUUUAGCAAGCAUACUGAGAUAUAUACACAUACAUACGAUCUAGCUGACAUUUGUAUAUACACAGUCACAUAUAUUCAUUCCUUCCUCUUUGAAGUGCUUCCUUUGUCUCUCUGGUAAGAGCACAGAUUAGUUUUGACAAGGCAAAGAAAGAUUUCAUUUAGAAGAAACAAAGUGGGUUGAUUAAUCCUUCCCAAAAAGUGUGCUAAACUGUUGUGACCAGUGUUUAUUUGUGAGAAAAACAGGGACAGAUAGAGGAGUUAACAUCUGAUAUGUGUGACAGCCACAGGAGGUGAUAGCAGUGAUUAGUUUUCAGUGUUGUAAGCAAAGGGCUUUUCUGAUACCUGAAAAAAUAUCCCAUUUCUGGUUCUUGGUGCUUUUUAACUUAUAAAAACUAUAUGCAAGGGUGCUUCUAUUACUCUGCCACAAUCUAAUGGCAAGAGAAGAACAUGAUGUUGCUGCCAUUAACAGUUGCUGUUAUUUCCCCAGGAUGAGAAAAUCAGUAAAACAAUGCCACAUACCUGGAGGAUUUUGGUGAUCCCAAACUUUUAGACCCCAUAGUGUAGUUUGAUGUAUUGUCCCAAAUUUCACACCUUCAGAAUCUGAGGGAUACUUUUUAAACAUGUCAGAUCAAUUGCAUCUUAGAUUCAUCAGAUCUUGGCAGCCCUUUCUUAUGAACGUCUGCCCAGAAAUAUAACCAUCUUCAUAAAAUCUUGUUUUUUUAAUAAGGCAUUCUGUUAUAUUAGCAAAAUGAGAGUUAUAUUGAGAUAUGAAUAAGGAGAAGCAGGUCAGGCUUCUAGGAAAGGGAGAGUGCAAAACUUCAUUAAUAGAGAAGCAAAAGAAAACUGAGAUUGAAUGUAGUCAGAAAUUACUUGCGAAAUGAAAAGUCAAAGACCGUGCUGCUUGUGUCCAUUAGGGCAAGACUGGAAGACUAUAAUAACUGAGUCUGAAGAUGAUGACAGGCUGAUGGUUAAAAGGCUGAAAUUAUAUUCCAGCAUCAGCAGUUCUCCAAGUGAAACUCCUAAAAACUUUUAACUGCUUCUGAUUUUAUGGAAUUACUUAAAAAUAUUAGUUGUUGCAGCUAAAACAAAAAUGCCUCUUCUAUACAACUAGGUAGUUGGAAAACAAAGCCUCAUUUUUAUUCAGUCACUGAAAUACUACCUAUUUUCUAAAAAAGCAAACUAUAGCCUGACCCCCUUUUUUUUUUCCCCUUGUUUUUUUCUUUUCAUGUUUUGGUGGGGUUUUUUUGUGUGUGUCAUUUUUGACACUGGUAUUAGGUUCAAGUUAUGUGUUUUCACAGCUUCUUUGAGAAUCUCUGAACUAUUCUAAGGCUGACUUUUGCCUCUAAGAGUGAUAUAUAUCCUUCAAGCGGAAGAUAGAGAACUACAGUCUAAUAAGGAGACAUAAUACUGGCUAUGGUCAAACCUGAGAAGCCUUUCAUAUCCUGGGACUACUGAGUGCAUGCUAUAUGUAUUACCUGCAACCGGAACAAAGUAGACAGCAUUUCCCCCAUUUUCUUCUGUUGAGUUUUGCCAAAAGAAACUGUUUUGGAAGAUAUUUAAGUAGUGCUUGUAAGCCACUAGGGAGCUGAAAAUGUUCUGUGACAAAGAUUUUGGUUUAAUUGUAGGUAUGCUUUCUGGUGGUGUGUUUGAGGGUUGUUGGGUUGGUUUGGUUUGAUUUGUCUGUCUCACCUGGGACUUCUAUUCCCAUAAACUGCCCAGGGCAUGGGAGUUAUAUUUAGCCUCCACCUAGGUCUGCGGAACACAGUCUUCAGUUCUGUUUUUGUGUCUCUUCAUGGCCCCUGCGCCUGGAC
rnacentral:lncRNA from 1 species